rnacentral:tRNA from 1 species
GCCGCUAUCGUCUAGGGGUUAGGACGUCGCCCUCUCACGGCGAAAACAUGGGUUCAAUUCCCGUUAGCGGUA